CGGAAGUAGCUCAGUUGAUAGAGCAUUAGCCUUCCAAGCUGAGGGUCGCGGGUUUGAGUCCCGUNNUAUUGG
rnacentral:tRNA from 1 species